rnacentral:rRNA from 1 species
UACGUAGGGCGCAAGCGUUGUCCGGAAUUAUUGGGCGUAAAGAGCUCGUAGGCGGCUUGUCACGUCGGGUGUGAAAGCCCGGGGCUUAACCCCGGGUCUGCAUUCGAUACGGGCUAGCUAGAGUGUGGUAGGGGAGAUCGGAAUUCCUGGUGUAGCGGUGAAAUGCGCAGAUAUCGUUUGGAACGCCAAUGGUGAAAACAGGUUGCUGGGAGUGCGCUGACGCUGAGACACGGAAGGCCAGGGGAGCAAACGGG